rnacentral:rRNA from 1 species
CGUUCUCUGCUGUAUAACCCCCUUUCUCGUGAUGACCUCGGAGCAG